GAUGAACGCUAGCGGCAGGCCUAACACAUGCAAGUCGAGGGGUAGAAUUAGCUUGCUAAUUUGAGACCGGCGCACGGGUGCGUAACGCGUAUGCAAUCUGCCUUGUACUGAGGGAUAGCCCAGAGAAAUUUGGAUUAAUACCUCAUAGUAUUAUGAUGUGGCAUCACAUUAUAAUUAAAGUUCCAACGGUACAAGAUGAGCAUGCGUCCCAUUAGUUAGUUGGUAAGGUAACGGCUUACCAAGACGAUGAUGGGUAGGGGUCCUGAGAGGGGGAUCCCCCACACUGGUACUGAGACACGGACCAGACUCCUACGGGAGGCAGCAGUGAGGAAUAUUGGUCAAUGGGCGCAAGCCUGAACCAGCCAUGCCGCGUGCAGGAUGACGGUCCUAUGGAUUGUAAACUGCUUUUAUACGGGAAGAAACACUGCUACGUGUAGCAGCUUGACGGUACCGUAAGAAUAAGGAUCGGCUAACUCCGUGCCAGCAGCCGCCGUAAGAC
rnacentral:rRNA from 1 species